rnacentral:rRNA from 1 species
CAGUAGCCACGGUAAUACGAAGGGUGCAAGCGUUAAUCGGAAUUACUGGGCGUAAAGCGCGCGUAGGUGGUUUGGUAAGAUGGAUGUGAAAUCCCCGGGCUCAACCUGGGAACUGCAUCCAUAACUGCCUGACUAGAGUACGGUAGAGGGUGGUGGAAUUUCCUGUGUAGCGGUGAAAUGCGUAGAUAUAGGAAGGAACACCAGUGGCGAAGGCGACCACCUGGACUGAUACUGACGCUGAGGUGCGAAAGCGUGGGGAGCAAACAGGAUUAGAUACCCCCGUAGUCCCUGUCUCUUAUAC